AGUCGUAUGGUCUAAUGGUUAUGAUUUUCCGUUCACAGUGAUGUGUUCAAAGCCCCGGAAAGGUUCCGUGUUCGAUCCACGGUACGACUA